rnacentral:rRNA from 1 species
CAGCAGCCGCGGGAAUACGGAGGGGGCUAGCGUUGUUCGGAAUUACUGGGCGUAAAGCGCACGUAGGCGGACCGGAAAGUCAGAGGUGAAAUCCCAGGGCUCAACCUUGGAACUGCCUUUGAAACUCCUGGUCUUGAGGUCGAGAGAGGUGAGUGGAAUUCCGAGUGUAGAGGUGAAAUUCGUAGAUAUUCGGAGGAAAACCAGUGGCGAAGGCGGCUCACUGGCUCGAUACUGACGCUGAGGUGCGAAAGCGUGGGGAGCAAACAGGAUUAGAUACCCCUGUAGUCCCUGUCUCUUAUAC